CCCAGACUCCUACGGGAGGCAGCAGUGGGGAAUAUUGCACAAUGGGGGAAACCCUGAUGCAGCGACGCCGCGUGAGUGAAGAAGUAUUUCGGUAUGUAAAGCUCUAUCAGCAGGGAAGAUAAUGACGGUACCUGACUAAGAAGCCCCGGCUAACUACGUGCCAGCAGCCGCGGUAAUACGUAGGGGGCAAGCGUUAUCCGGAUUUACUGGGUGUAAAGGGUGCGCAGGUGGCAGGGCAAGUCAGAUGUGAAAGCCCGGGGCUCAACCCCGGUAUUGCAUUUGAAACUGUCCGGCUAGAGUGCAGGAGAGGUAAGCGGAAUUCCUAGUGUAGCGGUGAAAUGCGUAGAUAUUAGGAGGAACACCAGUGGCGAAGGCGGCUUACUGGACUGUAACUGACACUGAGGCACGAAAGCGUGGGGAGCAAACAGGAUUAGAUACCCGAGUAC
rnacentral:rRNA from 1 species